rnacentral:rRNA from 1 species
UGCCAGCAGCCGCGGUAAUACGGAGGGUGCAAGCGUUAUCCGGAAUCACUGGGUUUAAAGGGUGCGUAGGUGGCUUAAUAAGUCAGAGGUGAAAGGCCGUAGCUUAACUAUGGGAUUGCCUUUGAAACUGUUGAGCUUGAGUUUGGCUAAGGUAGGCGGAAUGCGUCAUGUAGCGGUGAAAUGCAUAGAUAUGACGUAGAACACCGAUUGCGAAGGCAGCUUACUAGACCAUAACUGACGCUGAGGCACGAAAGCGUGGGUAGCGAACAGGAUUAGAUA